rnacentral:rRNA from 1 species
CUACUGGAAACGGUAGCUAAUACCGCAUACGCCCUACGGGGGAAAGCAGGGGACCUUCGGGCCUUGCGCGAUUGGAUGAACCCAGGUGGGAUUAGCUAGUUGGUGAGGUAAUGGCUCACCAAGGCGACGAUCCCUAGCUGGUCUGAGAGGAUGAUCAGCCACACUGGAACUGAGACACGGUCCAGACUCCUACGGGAGGCAGCAGUGGGGAAUAUUGCACAAUGGGGGAAACCCUGAUGCAGCCAUGCCGCGUGUGUGAAGAAGGCCUUCGGGUUGUAAAGCACUUUCAGCGAGGAGGAAAGGUUGGUAGCUAAUAACUGCCAGCUGUGACGUUACUCGCAGAAGAAGCACCGGCUAACUCCGU